rnacentral:rRNA from 1 species
UACGUAGGGUGCGAGCGUUGUCCGGAAUUAUUGGGCGUAAAGAGCUUGUAGGCGGUUUGUCGCGUCUGCCGUGAAAAUCCGGGGCUCAACCCCGGACUUGCGGUGGGUACGGGCAGACUAGAGUGUGGUAGGGGAGACUGGAAUUCCUGGUGUAGCGGUGAAAUGCGCAGAUAUCAGGAGGAACACCGAUGGCGAAGGCAGGUCUCUGGGCCACUACUGACGCUGAGAAGCGAAAGCGCGGGGAGCGAACAGG